ensembl:snRNA U6 U6 spliceosomal RNA
AUGCUCGCUUCAAUAGCACAUACACUAAAAUUGGAAUGACACAGAGAUUAGCAUGACCCCGUGCAAGGAUGACACACAAAUUCAUAAAGCAUUCCAUAUUUUU